AUGCAGUUUCACACAGCAUGCAUGUUGUGCAGGAGGAAGAUCUUUCUAAUUUUGGGAGAGCAACUGAAACAAUUCAGUGUACAGUGAACUGCAAUCAUUGAAGUCAAAGAGAGUUUUCUGUCUACCUGAACAGUAACAGCACCUUCAGCAAGGCAGAAGGAUUGGCUGUGGGACUUGGAAUAUCCCAGGAGCAAAGGAAGAUGAAACGUUGCUGAUCUGAAAAGUGAGAAAGGAGAACUCUUGGGAACCUACAGGUCUCCCCAGGAAGAAGAAGCAGAAAGGCCUGAGGAAUGGUAGUGGGCGGAAGAUGCGUGGUUUCUGAGGCACUCUGGGAGAGCAAAUGUGAACACUGUGUGGAAGAUUUAUGUCCAUUUAAAAACAAGGUUGCUUCUGUGAGGUAUGAGCCUGCAUUUAAAACCAAAAGCAAGAAACCAGACAAUGGAGCUACUAAAUGCACCUCUUCCAUUAGUGGGUAAGGGCUGGAAAUGCCACUAACCAAAGGUCGAUGGCUUCUGUCAGUCACAGCAGAGCUGAGAAGAGACUGAGUUUCAGCCACAAAUGGUGCUGUGAGUUACCUCCUCCUGUUUUCAGUUUGAUUCUUAUCUGCUGUUUUGGGUACCAGUGUUGCUCUUGGCACACUUAAGAUCAGCACUUUUAAUUAAGUGGGUGUCCUCAAGUUUCACUGACUUUUGAGUUUGGGAGAGAGUUUAAUUUUUGGAGGAUCUUUUAGAAAUGGAUUGAUUAGUAUAGCAUCAAGGAGAGAAAAUUCUUUACUGGAAAAGAAGGAAAAAAGAAGCAAAGAUACCUUUAAGGCUGACACCAUGAAAAAGAUCAUGUAGAAAAAUGCUAAGUACAGUGCUGACUACAGUGAGGAUCCAAAUUAUUCAGGCUGACAGACUGGCUUAAACUACACUCAGUGCUCUGAAAGUGUAUUGAAAGCAUGCAUUUGUUUCUAUUAUCCUAAGUCCUAAUGGGAGCUCCAUAGAAGUAGUUGGAUUUUCCAUUGUUAGGAUGACAGCAGCGCUGUCACCCUGCAUAACUAUUGUGUUUAGCUAAUGUUGUGCUGUGAUUACCAUCUUGUGAGGGUGGUCUUUCUUCACCCACAGCAUUCUUCACAGCAGGCAACUUCAACCAAGUCUGAUUUCAGCUUUCAUUCCAGUUGGAUUCCUGCCCCUCUUUAACCUUGUCAAAGCCAAACCAGAGUGCCUGACAUACUGCAUGGGUGGUUGCCUUUUGGAGAAGAGUAUUGCAGACACAUUCCAGACUUGGACAAAGCAUUCCUGUUUGAGGAGAGGUCUGCAAAUUAGAAGUACAACCUUCAGAAUUUUAAAGAAACUUUUAGGAACUAUGGUUUAAAAAGAUCUGCUUUAUUUCCUUGCUUGUGGUAGUCUUGUUCCUUUUAACAUUCCCAGGAACCGUGAGAAUGGCCACUGGUCAUAUAUCUCACCUGUAGCAAACACUUGGAUGUGGUGAGCUAUGCAAUAGCAGUGAAACAAACAUUGGGGUCCUCCAAAAAAACCAGGAAUCGUAUCUGAUUGGAGCAGCUGAAACAGUAAUGCAACAGCUGAGAGAAACUGAGUAGUGCAGAAGGAAUUUACAAAGAACGCGCUCUUCAAAUCUUCCUUUGGUACAAUGAAUUGAAGGCCAAUGUUAACACCAUAAACAGCACCAUGUUUUAGAAACUAUCUGUGAGUCUAUUUGUGUGCAAGCAUGAAAUUGAUAACAGGCAAAUAUCUGCUAAAAUUGAACUGUUUGUAGGAGCUACAAAAUGCCUUCAUAAAACUCCUCCCCCUGAUUAACCAGCUCAUCAUUCUUCCUUGCUAAGUAUGUGUGGGUGGCUGUUCCAGGUUUGCUAACUCUACAGAUAUUUAAAUAUCAGACCUCUCUGAAAUGCUGGAAUUAGUGGGUUCUGCUAAUCACAGUUCUGUGUAAAGCUGUCAGGAGGCUUGAUACUGACUUGAGAAAAAUUAGAACUUCAGCCCUAGUUUUCAGCUACAACAAGCAGCAUGUUAUUGAUAUAUUAGGAUAAGCAGCAGAUAAGAAGUACCUUUAAGUAUUUGAUGUUGAUUUAUAACUGAAACUCCCAAACCCUGCAGCAGUUCAUUUAUCUUUUGCCUUGACCUUUCUGAAUAUUUAGUAUAGUUAUUGGUUUUAAUGGCAUACACACCUGAAAUAACUGUUUAGAGACCUCAUUCUUCAGAGACUAUAUAAUACCCAAUAGUACAAUAACAUCUGGAAAUAGAAGACAACUGUAAAGGCUUUAGACAAACACAUCUUGCUUUACUGUUGACUUAAUGAAGAGAGACAUAUGGAACUUCAUGUUCCUAAAGGAAUGUGUUGGACUGCAAAUAGAAAUGCAAAAUGGAGAAGUCCAAGCAGUUACUUUCCAUACUACAUUAUGAGAUUAGAAAUAUGCUGAUCUGAAUAGGAACUGUAAAAAUCCAUAAUGCCUUUUGACAGAGAUCAUAAAUCAUGGGCUUUUCAAGGGUAUUAAACAAAUUCCGUCCACAUUGGUAGAGCUGUUUUUAAAAUACUUGUUUUAAAUAAUGGCUUGUGCUAUGUUUUGAAAAAUGUGGCCUCCCUUCCCAAAUUAUUCAAGUUAUUUCAAUAACUUAAUUUUAUACUCAAAUGUAUAAAGAAACACUAAUUUUUCUAAUGUAGUGGUUCUAAAUGUAUUGAUACAUAAAGUAUAAUGCUUUUAAAAUCACGAUGAAAAGCUGAAGACAAAACUUGUGUAUGGAAUGAUAUUGUGAUAGUAUCCACAAGGCCGUAAAACAGAGAUGUCAAAAAAAAUUAUUUUUUUUUCCUCUGGAAUUAAUAAUGUGCAUUGUUUUGAUUUUGUUUAUGUCUAGAUUUAAAAAUAUUUUCAGAUAAAUUAUCCUGGAAAGUCUACAUAAAAAGUUCUGACUCUAAUAGUCUUACUUGUUCAGAAUCUUAUGUUGAGUAAUACUUUCUUCUGAAACCUAUUAGUUAAGUAUUACUCAGUAUUAAUAACAGUAUCAAAGUUUUUUCCAAUGAUUGUAUAGAACAUCUUGCGUGACUGAAUAAUGUUCACAUGAGAGAAAGGCUUGCAAUGUUUAAUGGCUUCUUCAGGAAACUGCAAAGAGCUCUGGGUAUCCUGAAAGCCUACGGAAAGGUUCUACAAUAUUCUUCCUUUUUUUCCUCAAAAAUGAAAAACUAAAAAAGUUUUUAUGUAGGUUCUAGGAAAAGAGACAAUGUUUCUUAAAAUAAUAGUCUGUUUCUUGGGGAGUUCAUGUGUGUAGUAAUAAAGACUUCAUUGUAAAAAUAAAGGUUUGCUAACAAAACAAGAAUAAAACUCUCAUUUUUAGGGGUAAAAGGAAGGGAAGAAUGAUUCAGUUGAAUAUCUAUAUAUAUGAAGAUGGCAUUUAUGGCUUCGAUUUUUUCCCAGAAAUGUCAAAGCAUUUUACAAAAGCUCAUAUAACAUAAGCUUGCAACUAAAUAUCAAAAAACAAGUGGUUAUUAGUACCUCUACUUUACAGAAAAAUGAAAGAAUAACAGAGCAGACACUGAUUUUCCUGGUGUUACCCACAAAGUCACUGGCAGAGUAAUGAAAAUAACCCAAACUAUUCAUUUCUUGUCCUUGGUUUUAAGCAUGGAACCGCAGCUUCUCCGGCGUGAUUGAAAUUUGAUGUUAAAAGUGGCAAAGGACAGACAAAAUGAAGAAAAUGUUAUUUGUAUUCAAGAGAAUGAAGUCUCAUUUCAGGGAAAAUUUGUGUUGAAAAGUCAUAUUUUGUGACUGAAGUAGGCUUUCUUAGAGACCUCUUGGGACACUGAAUUUAUGACACUGUGUUCAAAACAGUACUUGAGUUCCUGAAGGUUGCUCUAAAUAAAAUAUUCCAUAAGGCUAUUUGGGAAUAAGAUAGUCUAAAAGACUAUCCGCUAUUUGAGACUUAUUUGAGAUUUUUAAGACGAUACCUGUUUUUCUAAACAAAAAGAGUCAAACUGCAACAGAACUACCUGCUGGCUAGAAAGAAAGAAAUGCUUCAGCUAGCAGGGUUUGUAAAGUUAGUGGCCUCCCUCCACAGUUUUAUGUCCUCUCUUAGCUGACAACUAAGUUUAUAAAUACUCUUAGCUGAGGGAUAGGAUCUCAGACACAGAAAAAGGAGUCAGGAAACACUGUAUUGGUAGCAUAGGCAGGAACCAGGGCAGCUAUGGGAGUCUCUGCUCUGCCUACCUUUAUUGCAUGAUCCAGACCAAAGCUUACCUGUAUUUCCAGGAAAAAGAGGAGGGAGAACAAAUGACAGAGCCCUCUUUUUUCCUUCCCCUCUUAUACAUCUAUUUGUGGGGCAUUUCAUAAGGAAGCUUAAGCCCAGGAGAAGUUUCUCGCUUAACGCAAAUGGUUGGUGUGGCACGUGACAAUGCAGAUCUACAGAUUUCAGCUACCUGGUGGCUGAGAACCUGGUGCCUACAAUCCUCAGACUGAGCCCCUAUGAGAAAUUUUGUUGUCACGCUCAGUUAUGUUCCUUCAUUUCUAUCUUGGCUGAUAGAUACCACCUAGAUUACAUUUGUGGCUGUUUACAUUUCCCCCACUCUCCUUAGCCAUCAAGUCAAGCUUGCAUUCUCUUUUAGCAACUUUUUUUCAGCAACUAGAUCUUAAGAGCCUUCCCUGGUACCUAAACACAUAUCACACAGCUCCUGGUGUGCCUCAGGAGGAAAAGUCACCCUGCUUUUUUUCAUGUCAAAAAAGAAAAUUGCUGGAGUGUCAUGAAGCAGCUGGAGGUCACAAGAAAAUGUUUUCAGCUGGCCAGAGCCUAUCCUGUUGUCCUGGGUCAGAUUAAUACCCCAGAUAGCUCCUGGCAGAAUAAUCAACAAGAACUGUGAAGUCUGAGAGUCAACACCCAAACCCCGUCCCGAUCAAAAUGAUCUCCCCUACUUCAUCCUAGGUAAGUGCUACUGGUAGGUGCUACAGCCUGGUUGGUCUUUUUUAGCUGUCUCCUCCAGACUGGUGAGCUGCUUCUGUUUCCAGUUUGAUUUAGUGGAUAUUUAGGCACUUUCAGGCCUUAAGGUGAGAUUUUUUUGACCUGUUUGGCAGUCACUGCCUACACAUUCUUUGACUUCUUCAGGGAGCCUUCUGAAAGAGUUAAAGGUCCAAGGAAAUGGAGAUUUAGAGAUUUUUGUAACGCUAAGCUUAACUUCAGUACAGCAUGAACGCUGUUUAAUUGAUUAUAUUACUGUCUAUUUGUUAACUAAUAUGUCCUGUCUUCCUUAGUUUUUUAAUGCCUCAGAAUGUAUUUAGUCCAGAGUCUUGAUAACUGAAAAUAUCCUUAGAUUUAGGAGUUAAAAGUUACAUUUAAAUAAGAAUAUAAAUUGUUUAGGGGGAGAGAGUCUUCUCUGAUAUUCUGUGAUUGUAGUUUAUGACUUCUCUACCUCUAAAGCUGAUUUUAAUAUUUUUCAUUAAAUCUAGUAUAUUCUUUCUUCCCAAGAGCUCUGCCUCUUCAUUAUAACCAUUUCCAUCAAUGACAAGAUCAGAGAGCAUUUUUAAUGUUAAAUAGGAUAGAAGGGUAGAAAUUAGUACUUAAAGGGUGAAACCAUUAGUAUUUCUGAGUGCUUCUAUGUAUUCAUCACUGCCUGAUACAGAUCAGUAUUAAUAAUGGGAGCAGCCAGACAUAAUCCAUCUGCUGGAUAUUCCUUUUCUCUCUUGCAGUGACUGCCUUGUCUUCUUUCUCAGACACUGCCUGCUCCGGUCUCCAGACAGGAAAUCCAGACAUGGCCAUUCAUCAAUGCUGCUAUAAUCUGUCUGAUUUUAUUAGCUUUUGAAUUUUAUCACCAAAAUGAAAAGGAAGGGGGGGAAGGAGAUCCAGCAGUAUGAUUCUCUCAUACCUAUGAAUUCUCCUCAGUACAGCAGAUUGGGACCAGACAAAAAUUAAGAAGUGAAAAGGUGCCUGGCAAAUUGACCCCCCCCCCUUUUAUUUUUAAGAGCUUGAUCUAUUUUAUUUUAUUACUUCUUCAGCAAAUACAUGUGGUGUGCUGCAGUCAGGGUUUCUGGCUGAUGGAGUUUUUUUCCUUCAUUUAAGAUUUCAUGGGUGCAUAUUUAAUAUUCUGUGUUAUUGUGAGACCCGUCUAGGAUUGCAUCUUGUUUUGGAGAGCAGACCCAAACAGCAGUUGGAAAUUGAGUUGCUUGGAGCUGCCGUAUGGAGUAAGGCAUUCCACUGCCAGUUGUCCCAGUUGGAUAAAUCCCAGUUGGAAUAACUGGUUGAGGCAAAAAAUGUUAGACUAUGUGAAGACCACCGCUCUGACAAAUGGAGACACAGCAGGAAUGGACUAAAGCCUUUGAUCUUUUCUGGCAAAGUGGCACAAACCAUUUCAACCCAGGGCACCACCACAGGAAAUCACUGAAAGUGAUUGCAUAUUUUGGUCGCAUUUACUCCCUGUACCCAGUUUCUGGUGAGGCAGAGAGGGUAAAAUUUAGGUUGUGAGGAAGUGUCUACCUUGGAGCUGUGUGGAAAUGAUUAGAUUUUCUCAAGGAGAACAAGUUCUUUGCAGAGUCCUUGUAGAUAUUCUGCUGUGGCAGCCUAGCUGGAAGAUGAGUGUGGAUUCAUAGAAGUGUGGUAUGUGCAUGAAGUGGAGGAAUUUUCUACUCAUUGCCCUUUGCAGGACUGUACUGAAGUGAAGGAGUAGUUGCCUGAGUUCUUCUUAUACCUUGUACUGGGCAGGAGAAUAAAUAUAAGCACUUUAUGCUCCUGCAUGAUUUUCCUACCGUUUUUUUAACAAUUGUGAGCCAUCCACCGGGCUGUCUCUCUCAGUGUAGACAUCGGAAGGAAAUGGCCCAGAGGUGCUGUGACACUUCUUCAUUGACACACUGAGCUGCUGGAUUCAACUCUAAACAUCAUGCUGCAAUCUGUUCUCAGAGCUUGCAGCCUCCACAUCUCUUCCUAGAGUUAAGAAAGUGUUCGAAAAAAAAAGAAGGUAAUAUUCAUGGGAGAGGAAGAAAGUGAGUGCUUGUGCAAAAGGGCACCUGGCUUUUAAUUUGGUUGUCAGCAAAGUCCUCUAUGGUUGAAGAGCAGGUCACAGGUCUUGCUCCAAGGACUGCUCCUUAUAACUGAAGUAGCAUCACUGCUCCAGCAGCUCUAUUUUGAAAGAAAACAGUGCUUUCUAAGAAACAGAAUCUACCCAGGAUGUGAGAAGUGUACUCUGAAAAUGCCUACCUGUUAUUCUGAAUUCAGUAAUUGGAUAAAAGAGUAACUGUGUAACUGAAAAAAUUUUAGUACUAUAAAAAUACAUUACAGGAUUACUAAAGGCUAUUUGAAGUACUUACUGCCUAAAUUUUGGUUUUAAGCUGUAAGUAAAGACAGGUGAAAGGUCAAGGUAUUACAGUGCACACCUUAGAAAACACUUUUUAAAAAAUAUUAUCAUUGUUCUCGUUGUCUUUGUUUCAAGCUAAUUUAAAAAGCCAUUGAUGUCCCUUUAUGGAAAAAGGUAUCUGAAGCAAUAGGAACCUCUAAUCAAAGCAGAUGGACAUUGUAAUAUGUGAGGGAGUGUGUAAGACUGUUUAAUAAUAAGAAUUAUGCAGAUAGAGGGUUUGUCAAGGUAUUGUUUUGAUUUAAGAAACUGCCUGGUUGUAGUGGUUUAGCCUUCGCUGGCUGCCAGAUGCCCACCCAGCUGUUCUCUCAGUCCCCCUCUUCAAAAGGACAGAGGGAGAAAAUAAGAUGCAAAAGCUUGUGGGUCGAGACAAAGAUGAGGAAAUCACUUACCGAUUACUCUCACAGCAAAACAGACUUGACUUGAGGAAGAUCAAUUUAAUUUAUUGCCAUUUAAAAUAGAUUUGGAUGGUGACAAACAAAGACAGAAAUUAAAACACCUUCCCUCCCUGCCCUGAUUUUUCCCCAGGCUCAACUUUACUCCUUUGUUCCUGACUCCUUCACCUCCUCCCCGACUUGAGUGGCACAGGGUGC